rnacentral:lncRNA from 1 species
UUCGGGGUUUCAUUGGAGGUUUUUAAAGAUCAAGGGAAUUAAAGAGAGGAGCUUCAUGCUUCGGGUCGGAGAAGGAAAGACAUAGAAUUUGGAUUUUUCUUCUUCGUAGAGUUUUGGGAAGACUGAGGCAAUCACUGCUGAAGUCAGUGUUGUAAUGGUGAAUCGAGAUUUUUAAAUGAAGUGGGUUUGAAUACUCUUGACUGUUUUGUAAAAUCGAGUCACCUCUGUGAUUGAAGGAUUAAAAGGAUGUCUAUAGGAUUGAGUAUGCGGAGUGAAUGAAAUUUAUUGGGUUAAUCUAACAAGACAGUCAGUGGAUACAAGAUCGUAAGUACAAAGGGGUAUUGAAGAUUAACAGUUUGGGUUGUU